rnacentral:rRNA from 1 species
AGAGUUUGAUCCUGGCUCAGGAUGAACGCUAGCUACAGGCUUAACACAUGCAAGUCGCGGGGCAGCAUGGGGGUUGCUUGCAAUCCCUGAUGGCGACCGGCGCACGGGUGAGUAACGCGUAUCCAACCUGCCCUUCACCACGGGAUAACCCGGCGAAAGUCGGACUAAUACCGUAUGUUGUCCAUUGACGGCAUCCGAUUUGGACGAAAGGCUUAGCGGUGAGGGAUGGGGAUGCGUCCGAUUAGCUCGACGGCGGGGUAACGGCCCACCGUGGCAACGAUCGGUAGGGGUUCUGAGAGGAAGGUCCCCCACACUGGAACUGAGACACGGUCCAGACUCCUACGGGAGGCAGCAGUGAGGAAUAUUGGUCAAUGGGCGGAAGCCUGAACCAGCCAAGUAGCGUGCAGGAUGACGGCCCUAUGGGUUGUAAACUGCUUUUAUGCGGGGAUAAAGGGGCCCACGUGUGGGCUUUUGCAGGUACCGCAUGAAUAAGGACCGGCUAAUUCCGUGCCAGCAGCCGCGGUAAUACGGAAGGUCCGGGCGUUAUCCGGAUUUAUUGGGUUUAAAGGGAGCGUAGGCCGCCCCUUAAGCGUGUUGUGAAAUGCGGGUGCUCAACAUCCGACUUGCAGCGCGAACUGGGGGGCUUGAGUGCGCCGAAAGUAGGCGGAAUUCGUGGUGUAGCGGUGAAAUGCUUAGAUAUCACGAAGAACUCCGAUUGCGAAGGCAGCUUACUGUAGCGCAACUGACGCUGAUGCUCGAAAGCGUGGGUAUCGAACAGGAUUAGAUACCCUGGUAGUCCACGCGGUAAACGAUGGAUGCUCGUUGUCGGCCCUUGUGGUCGGUGACCAAGCGAAAGCGUUAAGCAUCCCACCUGGGGAGUACGCCGGCAACGGUGAAACUCAAAGGAAUUGACGGGGGCCCG